CUAAGAAUAUUCCGCAAUGGACGGAAGUCUGACGGAGCGACGCCGCGUGGAUGACGAAGGCCGAAAGGUUGUAAAGUUCUUUUGCUGGGGAAGAAUAACCGCAGGAGGGAAUGCCUGUGGGAUGACAAGAACCGGCGAAUAAGCCCCGGCCAACUACGUGCCAGCAGCCGCGGUAACACGUAGGGGGCGAGCGUUGUUCGGAAUUACUGGGCGUAAAGGGGAUGUAGGCGGCUUGGAAAGCCUGGCGUGAAAGUCUGCAGCUUAACUGCAGGGGUGCGCUGGGAACUGCUGAGCUUGAGUGACGGAGAGGGAGCUGGAAUUCCGGGUGUGGGGGUGAAAUCUGUAGAUAUCAGGAAGAACACCGAUGGCGAAGGCAAGCUCCUGGCCGAUGACUGACGCUGAGGUGCGAAAGUGUGGGGAUCAAACA
rnacentral:rRNA from 1 species